UAAACGACUCUCGGCAACGGAUAUCUCGGCUCUCGCAUCGAUGAAGAACGUAGCGAAAUGCGAUACUUGGUGUGAAUUGCAGAAUCCCGUGAACCAUCGAGUCUUUGAACGCAAGUUGCGCCCGAAGCCAUUUGGUUGAGGGCACGCCUGCCUGGGCGUCACGC
rnacentral:rRNA from 1 species